rnacentral:lncRNA from 1 species
UCUUGUGCCUGUAGAUGGCAAUUUUCUUUUUCUUUUUUCUUUUUUCUGCCUGGUUUUAGGGGAAGAUGCGUCUCUGCCUAUUACCAGUGGAGGAAGCUACCAGGUAUUGGUGAACAACGUGUUUUAUUUCACACAACGCGUAGUGGACAAGCUUUGGCAAGGCAUGUUCAACAAAGAAUCUAAACUUCUUAUAGAUUUUAUCAUUCAACUCAUUGCACAGGUAAUCCAUCGUCACUAUUCACUGGAGUACAUACAUGUCUUUCUUUGGCUAAUCCUUUUCCUGCUGUGUCAAAAUUACUGGAAGUAGAUGUAGCUAAUGAGAUAGUGAAUAUUCUCAGGUGUACCCAAACUUUGUAAAAAGUGAAUUUUCAUUUUGGUUUGGGUUGUUUCUUUGACCAUAUGUUUUCUAACAAGAAAGAUAAAGAAAGAAACAAAGGGUGUGUAGUUUAGUAGGUGGAGAGAAUCGAAGUAGUUGGGAAGGAAAACCCGAGAUCAAAAUCUCUAGCCAGAAGAAAUAAAAUUUACAACUUAAAAAAAAAAAAGGGCAAAUUUCCUUUCACAGUUCCAUGAGUGAUAUAUGGUGAUUAUGAACAAAUUUAAAGAUUUAAGAAAUAAAUGAAAAGAAAAAACCCUCUCCUCCCUAUGCCCUACUGCAACCCUUGCCCUGUGUGGGGUUCUGCUGGUGUGAUUGGGUGGACCAUUCGCUCUGAAGACAUGCAUUUAUAGUUAAGCCAAAGAGAACAGCUUUCAACUGUGGGGUGAAGCCCCUGCCCAGCGUAGCGUAGCUCCCACUGGAGUUCUGGUCAACUCUUCAAUCAGCAUAAGAGACCAUUCAUCCUAACUGGAGUAGUGUGCUGAGACCUCCGCACAGGGGCUGUUUGUACGGGACUCUCUUCAUUCUUAAAUUGUGUUUAUGUGUCUUGGGGAUUCUGAAUCCGUAACAGCAAGGGCGCAGGAUUUUUCAGCCAAGCACUCCGAGGUCUUAGCAUGAUGGCUCUUGGGUAGUAGCCGAUGCGAGCGUGCUUGUGAACGACAGUGGGGAUUUGCAUUUCUGUCCUCUUACUAAAAAAAUCUUUUUCAUUUCUUCAGUCGAAGAGACGGUCGCAGGGCUUGUCGCUGGAUGCAGUGUAUCACUGCCUCAAUCGGACCAUCCUGUAUCAGUUCUCCCGCGCGCACAAAACCGUCCCUCAGCAAGUCGCCCUCCUCGAUUCUCUCCGGGUGCUUACUGUGAACCGGAACUUAAUUCUGGGACCCGGAAACCACGACCAGGAAUUCAUUAGCUGUCUCGCUCACUGCCUGAUUAAUCUACAUGCUGGAAGGUAAGUCUCCUCGGUUCUGUUUGCCCUGCUGUCUGUGAUUCCUUAUGUGAUAACAAGUGCCUUCUUGCUUUUAAUUAUUUUUGUUUACCACUUUAUGAAAGCUGUACAGGGCAAGUGUUACAGUUUAGCAGAAACAAUAAGGAUUUUGUUUUCCUUUUCAUUUAGUUUUACAUCUAAAUCUUUCAUAAUCACCAUAUGUCAUUCAUGUAAUUAUAAAAGGACAUUUACUUUUUCAUUGAAAAAAUAUGUUUUAUACAAUAGUCCUGAUCAUGGUUUCCCCUCAGAGGUUCUCCCCACUGACCCACCAAUAGACCCUUUUUCUUUCUCUCUCUUUAGAAAACGCAGGUUAAGAAAACAAAAAUAAAAACAAAUAAACC